rnacentral:lncRNA from 1 species
ACCAGAAUGAGCUGGAAUGACCUCUAGAGAUGUUCUGAGGUCAGCAGGCCAGACCAUUCCUCCUGGAGCCAAUGCUUCAUCGAAUUUUGAUAGGUCCCGGCCCACCCUGCUUGUCCUGUGCCCCUCCUGGCACUGUCUGCUUCAGCCAGGGCUGGCACUCUGUCAGCUUUUGGAACAUAGCUAUGAGCCUUGGAAAGCUGGAGUUUGGUUUAGCAGAGAAAUGCAUUUGAAAUCUUCCCUCUGGACCCCUCCUCACCUCCCUCCAGGACCAAUUUAUCUGCCAGUCCAGCCUCUAAGUGGAGUUGGGGCCAGUUGGAGACCUGCCCAUGCUUGUCACCCUCUGUGGCCAGAUGACAGGACAGCAGCACACAGCUGGGAGAGGGCUGGAAAGUCCCGUGUGCACCUCAUGCUGAACUGGGGAGGCCAGAAGCUUCCAGGCUGCCAAGGAGGGAUGGAGGAGAGGGAGGCCCUUUCCCUCAGGGAGACACUAAGCCUUGGAAUGUGUCCAUGUGAGAGAACAGGCGCAGACGCUAAGGCCCUUGCUCGAGGUCACAUGGGGAACGAGGACAUGCAAUCGGUCAGUAGCCUGUUGCCUCUCCCAGCAGGGAGCUAUGGGAGGCGUUCCCCACGGCUGCAACACAGCACACUUGUCUAUUCAUCCCGUCACCAUUCACUCAUUUGUUCAUUCAUUCCCUCAAAACGCGGCCGCUCGCUUACUCUAUGCCAGAUGCCGUGCUAAGGCCAACUUGAAGAUUGACUGGGGUGAGAAGGUGAACUGAGCUUCGGAGCAGAGCAGCUGACAGAGGCAGGGCAGGGUGAAGGCACCCACAUGGUGUGUGUCCCCCCACUGCUCAGGGGCUGCAGCUCCUUCUCACAGCCCUUCUGGGGCUCCUGGGCCUGCUGCUUCUGCGCUGCAGAGCCGAGAACCCUCGGGAGCCUGCACCCCAAGCCCUGGGCACACUGUGCUUCUCACCCUAAGAGCACUGGUCCUACAGGCGCUUGUUGUUUGAAGUUUCCUUCUGGCUUACGGCUUCCAGAACUUCCUACAGCGGUACAGGAG